rnacentral:snoRNA from 1 species
UUGCAAGCCUCCAGCGUGCUUGGGUCUGCAGCGACCCUGUGCCUUCCUACAGUGCUUGUGAGAACAGGUUUGAAAUGGUUUAGGCCUUGCUCUGCUCCAUCUACAGAGCAAGGUAGUAGAAAUUCAGACAGUU